rnacentral:rRNA from 1 species
CGGAUGCGAUCAUACCAGCACUAAAGCACCGGAUCCCAUCAGAACUCCGAAGUUAAGCGUGCUUGGGCGAGAGUAGUACUAGGAUGGGUGACCUCCUGGGAAGUCCUCGUGUUGCAUCCC